rnacentral:rRNA from 1 species
CGUAGGGGGCAAGCGUUGUCCGGAUUUAUUGGGCGUAAAGAGCGUGUAGGCGGCCAGAUAGGUCAGCUGUGAAAACUCGAGGCUCAACCUCGAGAUGUCGGCUGAAACCAUCUGGCUAGAGUCCGGAAGAGGAGAAUGGAAUUCCCGGUGUAGCGGUGAAAUGCGCAGAUAUCGGGAAGAACACCCGUGGCGAAGGCGGUUCUCUGGGACGGUACUGACGCUGAGACGCGAAAGCGUGGGGAGCGAACAGGAUUAGAUACCCUGGUAGUCCACGCCGUAAACGAUGGGAACUAGGCGUGGGCGGUGUCGACUCCGUCCGUGCCGAAGCUAACGCAUUAAGUUCCCCGCCUGGGGAGUACGGCCGCAAGGCUA